UCAUAUGUACAUGCCUACAACAUAACGUUAAUGCACUGGAUCCCAUUAUAACUCCACAAUUAAGCACACUCGGGCUAGAGUAGUACUGGGAUGGGUGACCACCUGAGAAUGACUAGUGUUUUAUAUGCC
rfam:Picea glauca, whole genome shotgun sequence.